ensembl:lncRNA
UAUAUAUACAUAUAUAUAUAUAUCCAGAACCAUGCACACUAACAUACAAUUUAAAUGUAAACUUUGAUAGUGUACUGGCUUAGGUACUAGGUACAGUGCUGAAUAGUGCACAGGGUUAGGUAGAGUGUUUCUGGGUAGUGGUAGCACACACCUUUAAUCCCAGCAUUAGGGAUGAAGAGACAGGUGGAUCUCUGAGUUUGAGGUAAGUCUGGUCUAUAGAGCAAACUUCAGGACAGUCAAGGCAAUACAGAGAAACCCUGUGUCAAAACUGCCUCCUACUAUUAAACAUGUAGUGUACAGGUUUAGGUAGAGUCCUGGGAUGCUGUUCCCUAUUGAGUUUUUGCCUUCAGUCAUGCUGGAGACAACUCAAGUGUAAAAAAGACAAGAUUGCUGCUGUGAAGAUGAAAGGACCCUUCAAAACUCCAGAUAAUGAGAGUCUGUGAAGGAUCUACUACCUUCCAUGGACACCAUGGGCUGACAGUUAUCACUGGCUUGGGGUACAACAGCAGAGCACAUGUCUGUGGUACAGGCUGGGUGUCAUCAUCCCUUGGGCUCACUUUUUGGUGAAUUGUGGGCACCAUCUCCCUGAGUCCUUAUUUGGAAAAUUCCUUGGCACACAUCCCUCUGAUACUGACUACAGCCAUUUCUACUGUUAUAGCAAUGGUCCUGUAAAAGGUCACUUCAAGAACCACUUUGUCUCUCUUACUCUUUAUCACCCUCCACUUCCUAGUAGAACACACCAAGGUUAAAACAGAACUUUAAACAAGGAAUUCUGUAUUUCACUCACCAUAAAGCACUAACCUCCCUGCACAUCUGCAAUUUUUUCUGGAUCCCAGCCCACCCCUGCAUACACAGAGGUCCCUCACAUCAAUGCCAUAGACUUCACCAUAACAAUUAACUUUUAUAUGAUAUAACAGAGGCCUGGCCACACUUCUGUCUAGCUUCUUUCCCACACUGUGCUGAGCACUGUCCUAGCAAUUGGGAGGCUGUUCAUGUGGUGAGGGUGUCAUCUUAUUAACACAACCUAAACAUAAAAUUUUACCCUGUCUCAUGUAAGAGUGUGGGGUUUUUUAGAGGAAGAUAUGUGAUAUCAUUCAAUAUCACCUACCUGCACUUUCACACAUAUGGAUGUGAACCUGCAGACAUGAGCACACAUACAAAUGGAAAACAUGCAUAUUAGUAUAGAAUGUGAGGGGAGGGUGUUGCCAUGAUGUUUCCUGUGAUAGUGACAUUGAUGUUUGUGCCAUAUUGUGGCAGCUCUCUGAGUACAAAUGAAAAGAUUGCUACCACCAGGGACAGAAGUCCUCGGGCAAGAUCAAACACCAGCAUUGAUUAUCACAAUGUAUCAGAUUGCAGGCAGAGCCCAGCUUGUGAGGUGCAGGUGUCCUGGGAACACCUGAUUUUACUUGUCCCAACCUCAGUGGGCCUUUUACUUGAGUAACUGUGACAGUGAAUGACCAGGCUGUCCUGUCAUGUUCAAAGCCUUCUGUCCCCAUGUGCUUAUAGUUUACACCAUGGUGGGUUGGGUUUGUUAUUCCUGUUCUGACCUGAGACUCUGUGAAGUCUGUGCUUUCCAUGUGCUGGAACUGCAUGCGCUCAACCACCAAGUUUCCAUUCUUCCUCACGAAGGGAUGGCAGAUAUAAACCAUGGCUGAUACCCGUCGAUCAUGAUGCUGGGCACCCAUGCCCGUUGGCUAUUGUGCACUCUCUGUAGUGACCCAGAAUGCUGUAAAGUGCAGUGGUUAAUUGAGAAAAACUUUAAACCUUUGGCUGAAUUAUCCAAGCUCUGUCCUUGGAGACAGUUUUUGGCUUGAGGUUGUUUUAUGGGAGUCACAGUGUGUGAGAAGUCAGAGUGACUGAUGUAAGGACAGAUUUUUACAGCAGUUGAAAGUGUAAGUACAGUCAUGUCCUGAGCUUUGCCAUAUGUUGUCUGCAGCAUAGGAUCAUUUUGGCUCUAGCUGGCUGUCCACUGUGGAACACAGCUAUCUAUGGCAAUACUUGUGAGCACACAAAAUUGUAUCAUUUAUUUCUGUGAGAAACUGUCACCCUCUUCCCAAAACAUCACCCUAUGUUUGGGAUGAAAGAACAAAUUCUGGCCAUACCUGACUAAUGAGAACUUGAAAGGGAAUUAAUUUUAAAGUCACUUGCACUAGCAGCAUCAAAGGGUUCAGUGAUGUAUUAAUUCUAUAAGAAAAACACAUAUGUGGUUAAGGCUCACUAAUGACCCAUGAGUUUGCUUCACAAAGACAGGAACACAUUUAUGCCACCUUUCUUUUCUUUUUUGGAGCUGGGGACCGAACCCAGGGCCUUGCGCUUAUGCCACCUUUCAACCUGCUUAAUCUCUCCCAGGACCUAUAGUUUUGAGUCUCUGGCAGUAGAAGUAGUGUGAACCAGGCUGCCUAUUGGUUCCCGAUGGGGAUUCAGAUCGUCCACUGCCCUUUCCAUUCUCACAUAGAACCCAAGUACUGCUUUAGAAACUUCAUCUUCUAGAAAAGGCCUUGGUACUCUGCACACCUAUAUUAAAACUGACACAUAGGUCGCAUGGUCAUUGGAACAGUGAACAAGAAUAACAGACCCAUCACCAGGAAACACAAUAGAAGCACAAGUUGCUCCCGUUCUUGUGUAGACCAUGUUCAGCAGUUGCUGAAACCUUCCCUGCAUCUAGAUUUGUUUCCCACUGUGUAGUUGCUUUUGGUCCAUCCUAUUCACCAGCAGAUAGACACUUGGUGGUUCCCAUUUCUUGGCUAUUGUGAAUGGCACUGCUGUGACAUUGUGUCCUUUGGAUCUGUGCCCUUGAGUGUGAUUGCUGGAUCUCUUGAAACCUAUGUCAUUGUUUCACAAAGAACUUCAAUUUCCUCCCAUCAUAUAUCAGGAUAUUCAUGUGUAUAAUUUCUGUUACUAUUCAUCAGUGAAAAUUGUUUUAAAAAUUAAAUAAAAGAUUGCAAUAUAGCUAUGAGCUCUGGUUGAGUAGCUCACUGGACUCAUGGGUAAACCAACUACUAUUAUGCUAAAUGGAUAGAGUAUGAAACUGCCUCCAGAUUUCUAUUUAUACACAUAAAUUAGUGCAGCUCUCUGACCUUAUCGAUUGUGUGUGUGUGUGUGUGUGUGUGUGUGUGUGUGUGUGUGUGUGUAGGUAUAGGGAAGGGUGGCUAACAGAGAAACUCACAAUUUGAAAAAUUGCCUGUGGAAUGCUCAGCUACUAAUGGAACUUCUUUAUCACCCCUCUUCCCAGUGAUCAGGGACCACUAUUGAAUAAAAUCAGAGGGAUUGUAAGAGGCAGAUGUCAGAGAGGAGCAGAGUGGAGUAGCACCUUCUGCAUCUGAGUAGAUUGCUGCACUCAGGAACUCACUGCAUCUUGGUUACUGACAUAAGACCUAUACAAGCUCAAAACAGUUGACAUUCCAGCAUUGAGGGUAGAAGGGCUCAUGAGCCCUAAUUGCUACCUGAGAAGCUGUGGACAGUGGAUGGUUUCUGCUGAAGGUGUGAGUGGGAUUUGUUUUUGUUGUUUAUGUAGUCCUAGUAGUAGACAGUUAAUAUCUCUCAACAAUUUAAAAAAAUCAUUAAGAGUUUGUAAUUGAUCUCUUCUGUUUUGUACAUUCAGUGGUUAAUUUUUCUGUAAACCUAUUUUAUAUCCUAAAUAAUUGAUAGAAUCUCUCUUUGUAUUUAUUUUUCAUGAGAAAUUUGUAAUCCACAGCGAGGCAAAAUUCUCUUUUCAUCGUCGUCUUCUUCUCCUCCUCCUCCUCCUCUGCUUCCUCCCCCUCCUCCUCUUCCUCCUCCCCCCUCCUCCUCCUUCUUCAGUAUUUGCAUCUGAGUCAGCCAGUAAGAUAUCAUCCAUAUAAUGAUGACUUUGAGAUUGAGGAAACAGUUUAUGAAUUAUUUCUCACGUUGUUGUACAAAGUAUUGGCACAGGUAGAGCUGUUUAAUAAUCCUUGUGGUAAGACUUUAUAAUGAUACCUCUUUGUUUGGCAGCUACUAUUAUAAGUAGGUCCCGAGAAAGCAAACCUUUCCAUACCAUGCUCGUCCAAAGGGGUUGUGAAAAGCAAUCUUAUAAAUUCAUUAGUAUCAUAGGCCAUGAGUUAGGUAAAAAAAAAAAAAAAAAAAAAAAGGAAAUGGGAUCCUAGGGUGAAAAGAGUCCAUUGAUUGAAUCAUCUUAUUUAUGGCUUUGUUAACAUCCUCCAUUUUCCUGUUUCUUUUUUAUAACAAACAUGAGAAUUCCAUGGGCAGGUAGAUUCUUCAUUGUUGAGCAUUUAGCUGCGCCUGUACCAGCUAUUUUAGUACUUGUAAUUUUUCUGAUGUUAAAGACCAUUGUUCCACCAACACAGGUUUGUCAGUUAGCCAUUGUAAAGGUAGAGUAGCUGGUGGUUUUGAAAGACUAACACAUGUUGUGUCCUGCUUAUGGACAACCUGGAUGCUCUGUGACUAUUCUUGACAAUACAUUUUAGUAUUUUACUCAGAAGCAUUCUUUAUUUUAUGGUUUAUUUCUGAGAUUGAAGUAAUGCUAAUCUAUGUUUUCCAUUGCUGCAAUAAAUCACAUCCCCAUAUAUUCAUGGCUGUAUAAGCCACACAUGGCUUUAAUUUUCCUAGUUGUCCUAUUGGCAAAUACAUUCAUCGCAUUGUUUAGCCUGAUACUUCUUUCUUGAUAUGUCUCCUAUCAGAGUAGCAUCAUAACCAUGAAAUCUAAUAUCAGUCAUACUUCUAAUCCAUUCAUCUAUUGGUGAUGAUCUUGCCUUUACAGAUCUAAUCACCCUUUUGCAUUCUGACUUAGCAUUUUCCAAACCCAAAGUUCUGGUUAAUAUUUGUCUGACUUCUAAAUUCGAUAUUACAAAUUCUAUUUACAAAUGAAAUCAAUCUUUGAAAGUUCCUAUCUCUAGAAGCUGAAUAUUUUCCUUCUGAAGAGGCCAAGAUUGUGGUGAAAUUAUUGCUACAUCUGUUCCUGUUACUUUAACCCUUCAAUUUCAGUGCCAUUUAUUUGUAUUUGUAGCUUUGGCCUCUGGUCUUUUAUAGCAGUUUGCCAAAAUACUUGGUUUUUGAUUUCUCCUAAAGAAUUGUUUUAUCCUUGACUAUAUCCAGAGCAGUAUUGUUCUUAACAACAGGCAUUAAAUCUUUCAAUUGCUCUGUGG